rnacentral:lncRNA from 1 species
ACGACAAUUUUACAAAUCAACAAAACAUCAACUAUUUGAAAGUUUUACAUACCUUGUAUGUUUCUAAUUCAUACUCAUGUCAGUCUAACAUCCUUGGAACAGAAACAUUCAUAUGAGUUUUCCAUUGAAUUUCAUUCAGAACUUCGAGGCACGCUCGGGCGUGAAGACUACCAAGAAUAUACCUUGAAAGUUCAGUUGCUGAUAUGCCCAACGCGGCAUUUCUGGUAAAGACUACUAACAAUUCAGAUAAGUAUUUUCAUUGAGCCAAAAAGAAUUGCCGAUGCUUUUAUGGAUUCCAUCCAAAUGCCCACAACUGCCUGCUAUAACCCCAUAUGUCUGAAGACCUACGUAUGACUCACCCAACCAGACAAGGCACUCCUGCGUGUAAAAUUACCAGUUACAUCACCCAUUGACAUCAGAGUUCCAUGCAAUAGGUCUGGAAGCUAGGCCCAAGCUGUAUAUAAAACUAAAAAAGGGAUCAAUACAAUUUACCUGUAAAGUAAUACGUGAUAGAAGCAUUAGAAUUGAAGAGAGCAUCCAACUAGAGAGCCAGGAGGUGUAAAAUGACUAAAUGAUUGCCUUUUUUUAGGGGUGAGGAUGAGGGUGAGGGUGAGGGUGGGGGUGUCCAUGGAGAAGUCAAUUAACUCAAUAGGCCAAGGUAUACAUCACCAAGUAACAAGUUACAUCAG